AUCACAGUGGUGCUAGUGGCUACAUCUAUCUAUCUAUCUAUCUAUCUAUUCCUUAUCAUUAUUCCUCAUAAUCUUGCCACGUGGCGUCGUUUCCUUUCUUUGGUUUUUCUCAUAAUCUUGAACCAGGUUGUUGAGUGUAGGCACCAAUCCGAACCGGCCCAAAUCCUUCACAUCUAUUCCUAACUUGAACCGAACCGGCUCAAAUCCUUCACAUCUAUUCCUUAUUUGAACCGAACCGGAUUGUUUAAUGUGGGUGCCAAUCCGAACCGGCUCAAAUCUUUCACAUAUUUCAUCUUUUCUUACUUGAACCGAACCGAAUUGUUUAGUGUGCGUGCCA
rnacentral:lncRNA from 1 species